GAGUAAAACUUAAGAGAUUCUAAAUAUCAGUGUCUGUUUAAAUAUAUUUGAGAAUAUGUCUAAUAAUUCAAUUUAUUACAACUAUUAUCGUUUUCCUUUUUUCUAACUAUCUAUGUAUCAAUGCCCAUGCCCCGGGCUAGCUAAGGUACUCAACGACGAAGUUUUCAUACAUAAAUUACUCCCUAAAUACUCUACAUCAUUUUACUCGACUUUUAAGGUACCAAUAAAAAUAUCUAAAACAAAUUUACCAUCCCAAUGGAAAUUUAAACGGGCAUCGCACCCUUAUCGCUGUGUUUAACCGGUUUAUCCAGUUUUGAAUAUACUACCCUUAUCGUGUUUCGUUCAUAAAAAUGUCGAUUUUUGUAUCGAUUUGAUGAGCAUACAUAAAGAAAACAAAAACAAAAAGUUAUUUACUAGAAAAAUGACUCUAACAAAGCCUGGCAGACUAGGUUCCGGGAAUCUGAGGUAUUGGUAUAGGUAUAUUUGUUCUGGUUGCCCCCUUAUCACGCGACGCACUGGCAUCUGCUACACCAUGGAAACUUGGGCAACAACAAAAAAUCAACACAAAAGGACAGAAAAAAAUAUACGUGAAUACGAUAUACAAAGUAAGUUGUUUUUUAAAAGCCCGAGACUUGCGAAACUGCGAACUAUAGGUGCUCAUGAGACAAGCUAUCAUGGGAGCAAACUAGAGACAAAAUGCUGACCUUUCAUUCUUCAUAGACCUGCUGCAAAAAAGGCCUGAUAAAGCACCACCAGAAGACUUCUCGCCUAACACGUCUAUUCGGGAUCUAUGUUAAAUCAUAAGUUUAUAUUGAAUUGAUAUUUCUAUUUAGUAUACUCACUUAUAAUUUAUUAUCUUCAAUACUUAAUUUUCAUUGUAAACUUAUAAAUAUUAUAAGUGAAUUUCUAUUGAACAUUUAAGAAAAUGAUCUCACAAGUUUACAAUAAAUGCGCAGUUUCUUCUUUUCUAAAAAGAACUAACGUAUUUUAAACCGUUUUUCUUAGUAUAUGUUUGACGAAUAAUUAGAAUUUUGCAAGCUUUUAAGUUUAUUAAAAUAAGCAGCAUUUUUAUUACCGAAAACGUGUAUUCUUAAAUUGUUCCGCAAUAGAAGAGAAAACAAAUUUCAUUUGAACGACAAUAUAAUAGCGAGACUAGAGAAAAAUCUAUAGUCCCUGAAUAGGUUUAAAUUAUAAAUGAUAUUUAUGACGUUUGAUUGAAUAUGAAAAUUGCUUCUAUUGUGGACGAUAUUUUCUUCUAUACCAUAAAUUUUUGUCUUUUAUAUGCUGAUGAUUAUACUGUACGGAAACUAAAAAGAUAAAUAUCGUGGAAUAUCGUUCUUAUAUUUAAUAUAAAAAAAGUUUUUUUUUCGAUAAUGUCAGUCAGAAAGGAUAUGCAUGUUUUCGAAAGUCAGUAUUAUAGGAUAUACAAGAAUUCAGUAAAGAUAAUUGGACUAUGGCCGUAUGAAAAUAUUCAAAUAAAACGAGUCAUAAGAAUUUCUAUAAUUUUGUUAUUAAUAUCACUCGUUAUUUUACAAGCUAUAAGGCUAUAUGAAGAGCUUGGCAGGGAUUUAGAUAUUGUGCUAGAACUUAUUGCUUCUUUAUCAUAUUUUGCUGGCUGUCUUUCUAAGUACAUUACGACAAUAAGAGCACAAUCUGCAUUUCGAUUUUUAUACGACCUAAUAGCUGGUCAUUGGCAAAUUAUCACAGAUAUAAAAGAACGAGAAAUAUUAGAAGAAUCAACCAGACAGAGUCAAACGUUAUGUCUUUCGUACAUGGUUGCAGCCUAUAGUGCAUUAGUAGUCUAUUCUACCAUGCCAGCAAUCGCACCUGCCGUUUUAGAUAUAGUAAUACCACUCAAUGAAUCGCGUAAAAAAACUUUCCCAUAUUACGCUGAAUACUUCAUCGAUGAUGAAGCUUAUUAUUAUCAGUUGAUGGGUCAUGGUACAAUUGUAUUCACAGUUUCUGUGAUGGUGUAUGUCAGUAUUGAUACCAUGUAUGCUUGCUGUGCUCAGCAUCUGUGCGGACUUUUUUCUAUCGUUGAAUAUCGCCUGCAAGAAGCCUUACGAACAGAUGACAAGUUACAUCUUGAACCACCCGAGAGAGAUAAGUUAACACACAAGAAACUUCACGAGGCAAUUAUUUUACACAAAGAUUCCAUAGAAUUUGCCUUUCUCAUUGAAAACACGUAUGCCCUUUGCUUCUUAUUAGUAAUGGGUCUAAACUUAACAGUCAUUGUAUUUACAGCAGUGGUUAUCAUCAUAAAUCUUGGCGAUAUGAAACAAAUGAUAAGAUUGACGCUAUUGUUUGGCGCUUUUUCUUUCCAUCUAUUUUUCAACUGUGUUCCUGGACAAAAGGUCCACGAUAAAAGCAUCAGCAUCAUGAAUUCCGCAUAUUUUUCUGAAUGGUAUAAUGUAUCGCUAAAAUCAAGAAAAUUAAUUAAAUUUGUAAUGCAUAGAAGCUUAAAUCCUUGUCAGUUUACCGCUGGAGGAUUGUUUGUGAUGAACAUGGAAAAUUUUGGUUCAAUAAUGAAAUCAUCGAUGUCUUACGUAACCGUCAUAGCAUCCAUACGAUAACGUAUAAGAAAUAUGAAAUUUAUACACAUGGAUCGCUGGUCAUUGUGAGAAAUGUUCAGUAAUCCAUGCUACACCCUGGGAGUUAUACACUAGAAAGAAAGGUCACGACUACCACAACGUCGUUCAACCCUGCAGUUCUGCAUCGGAGACGAGUGGACUCAUCUCGAUCUGCACGUAUAAAUGCACAUAUAAUAUUACGAUAUGCAGUGUAUAUUAUCCGACAUAAGUUUGCUGCAAGUAUCUGACUCGCACAAAUACAGCUAAAUUCUAACCAUCGA